AACACAUGCAAGUCGAGGGGCAUCAGGAACAAUGCUUGCUUUCUUUGCCGGCGACCGGCGCACGGGUGAGUAACACGUAUCCAACCUGCCCUUUACUCGGGGAUAGCCUUUCGAAAGAAAGAUUAAUACCCGAUAGUAUAAUGAUUCCGCAUGGUUUCAUUAUUAAAGGAUUCCGGUAAAGGAUGGGGAUGCGUUCCAUUAGGUUGUUGGUGAGGUAACGGCCCACCAAGCCUUCGAUGGAUAGGGGUUCUGAGAGGAAGGUCCCCCACAUUGGAACUGAGACACGGUCCAAACUCCUACGGGAGGCAGCAGUGAGGAAUAUUGGUCAAUGGGCGCUAGCCUGAACCAGCCAAGUAGCGUGAAGGAUGAAGGCUCUAUGGGUCGUAAACUUCUUUUAUAUAAGAAUAAAGUGCAGUAUGUAUACUGUUUUGUAUGUAUUAUAUGAAUAAGGAUCGGCUAACUCCGUGCCAGCAGCCGCGGUAAUACGGAGGAUCCGAGCGUUAUCCGGAUUUAUUGGGUUUAAAGGGAGCGUAGGUGGACUGGUAAGUCAGUUGUGAAAGUUUGCGGCUCAACCGUAAAAUUGCAGUUGAUACUGUCAGUCUUGAGUACAGUAGAGGUGGGCGGAAUUCGUGGUGUAGCGGUGAAAUGCUUAGAUAUCACGAAGAACUCCGAUUGCGAAGGCAGCUCACUGGACUGCAACUGACACUGAUGCUCGAAAGUGUGGGUAUCAAACAGGAUUAGAUACCCUGGUAGUCCACACAGUAAACGAUGAAUACUCGCUGUUUGCGAUAUACAGUAAGCGGCCAAGCGAAAGCAUUAAGUAUUCCACCUGGGGAGUACGCCGGCAACGGUGAAACUCAAAGGAAUUGACGGGGGCCCGCACAAGCGGAGGAACAUGUGGUUUAAUUCGAUGAUACGCGAGGAACCUUACCCGGGCUUAAAUUGCAGUGGAAUGAUGUGGAAACAUGUCAGUGAGCAAUCACCGCUGUGAAGGUGCUGCAUGGUUGUCGUCAGCUCGUGCCGUGAGGUGUCGGCUUAAGUGCCAUAACGAGCGCAACCCUUAUCUUCAGUUACUAACAGGUCAUGCUGAGGACUCUGGAGAGACUGCCGUCGUAAGAUGUGAGGAAGGUGGGGAUGACGUCAAAUCAGCACGGCCCUUACGUCCGGGGCUACACACGUGUUACAAUGGGGGGUACAGAAGGCAGCUAGCGGGUGACCGUAUGCUAAUCCCAAAAGCCUCUCUCAGUUCGGAUCGAAGUCUGCAACCCGACUUCGUGAAGCUGGAUUCGCUAGUAAUCGCGCAUCAGCCACGGCGCGGUGAAUACGUUCCCGGGCCUUGUACACGCCGCCCGUCAAGCCAUGGGAGCCGGGGGUACCUGAAGUACGUAACCGCAAGGAUCGUCCUAGGGUAAAACUGGUGACUGGGCC
rnacentral:rRNA from 1 species